AUCAUCACGUUUCUACGUUUCCAGCUGGGCAGAAUGGCGGUGACCUCCGACUGAUUAAAGCAGCAACACAUUCCCCGACACACCUUUCAUUAUUGAUACCUGCUGUAGUAGCUUACUUUGUUCUCCUAUAUACACACUGACCUUGAAUUAUAUUUGUUUCACUGGAACACGUACACCCAAUAUGUUUAUAGCCUACCUGCUGUUGCUCCACAUAUAAAUAGAGGCUGCAUUGGGUUGCAGCAAGUUAUUCGAGUCUCCAUCAUUGAUCAGUUGGUCAUCGUCUUGUGUAUUAUACACACAGCACAAAAACCGAACAUGGAUGUCAACAAUAACACGAGUAAAGAUGAUGCGAAGAAAACAUCAAUUAGGAUCGCCAACAGGAUUAAAGCAACUGCUGUUUUUAUCGUCUGGAAAGUGGAACAAUCCUAAGGAAACGCGAUCACUGUUCCUUAUAUACAACCUGUGAAAGGACGUCCAGCCAAAACUUUCGUGAAGCAGGACGUCCCUCACGUUGGCGAAAGACGGUUGCUGCAUAUCAACACUGCUCGUCAAGUCUGUAUAAGUGUCCAAAAAGUGGCCCAUCUUCAUUUAUAUUCAGAAAUCAAACAAGUUGGGGGGAGCUAUGAGGAGGCAGUUAACUUUAACGUGUGUGUCUGUGUGUAACAAUUCCAUUGAUUAUUUUGUUUUUAAAAAUGAUCGUUGAUUAAUACAGAAAACGCUUUGAAAGUUGAUUUGCCCAUAUAAAUAAUAAACGACUAUAAAAUUGCA